UUGAACGCUAGCGGGAUGCUUUACACAUGCAAGUCGAACGACAGCGGCAUGGACAAAUCCUUCGGGAGGCGACCAUGGCCGGCGAGUGGCGGACGGGUGAGUAAUGCAUCGGAAUGUGCCCAGUAGCGGGGGAUAACCACUCGAAAGAGUGGCUAAUACCGCAUAUUCUCUACGGAGGAAAGAGGGGGAUCUUCGGACCUCUCACUACUGGAGCAGCCGAUGUCGGAUUAGCUAGUUGGUGGGGUAAAGGCUCACCAAGGCAACGAUCCGUAGCUGGUUUGAGAGGACGACCAGCCACACUGGGACUGAGACACGGCCCAGACUCCUACGGGAGGCAGCAGUGGGGAAUUUUGGACAAUGGGGGGAACCCUGAUCCAGCCAUCCCGCGUGUAUGAUGAAGGCCUUCGGGUUGUAAAGUACUUUUGACAGGGAAGAAACAACUCCGGCUAAUACCCGGAGCCAAUGACGGUACCUGUAGAAUAAGCACCGGCUAACUACGUGCCAGCAGCCGCGGUAAUACGUAGGGUGCAAGCGUUAAUCGGAAUUACUGGGCGUAAAGGGUACGCAGGCGGCUAGGAAAGAAGGAUGUGAAAUCCCAGGGCUCAACCUUGGAACUGCAUUCUUAACUGCCUAGCUAGAGUAUGUCAGAGGGGGGUAGAAUUCCACGUGUAGCAGUGAAAUGCGUAGAUAUGUGGAGGAAUACCGAUGGCGAAGGCAGCCCCCUGGGAUAAUACUGACGCUCAGGUACGAAAGCAUGGGGGAGCAAACAGGAUUAGAUACCCUUGGUAGUCCACGCCCUAAACGAUGUCAACUA
rnacentral:rRNA from 1 species